rnacentral:rRNA from 1 species
GACGAACGCUGGCGGCGUGCCUAAUACAUGCAAGUAGAACGCACAGUUUAUACCGUAGCUUGCUACACCAUAAACUGUGAGUUGCGAACGGGUGAGUAACGCGUAGGUAACCUGCCUGGUAGCGGGGGAUAACUAUUGGAAACGAUAGCUAAUACCGCAUAAUAUUGAUUAUUGCAUGAUAAUUGAUUGAAAGAUGCUAUUGCAUCACUACCAGAUGGACCUGCGUUGUAUUAGCUAGUAGGUGAGGUAACGGCUCACCUAGGCGACGAUACAUAGCCGACCUGAGGGUGAUCGGCCACACUGGGACUGAGACACGGCCCAGACUCCUACGGGAGGCAGCAGUAGGGAAUCUUCGGCAAUGGACGAAAGUCUGACCGAGCAACGCCGCGUGAGUGAAGAAGGUUUUCGGAUCGUAAAGCUCUGUUGUAAGAGAAGAACGGGUGUGAGAGUGGAAAGUUCACACUGUGACGGUAUCUUACCAGAAAGGGACGGCUAACUACGUG